CACAAACACAAGAGUAAAGAAAGCAAUGGCAUCGGAUUCGAUCCCUGCAAUUAAUGAAGCUAUAAGGAAUUGCACAUCAACUUCACCUCUACACCCAAAAGAGACCACUCCAGCCUGUUGAUUCUCUCUUCGUUCCCACUAUCUCUCUCUCUCUCUCUCCCCGCUUCUCUAUGGAAUUCAUCAAACUUUGUUUCUGCAAAUAAUGUUUCUCAUUUCCUCUUUCUCAAUCAUGUCAAAACCAGAAAAAUCCCAUGCUGUCGUCGACGACCCUUCCCGCCUCCAGUGAUUCGUACGUUCUGCUUUCAGCUUUUAUACGUAUUUUUGCAGUAUAUUAAUUACUUAUACUUAGAUUUAUUUAAAUACUUUUAUUAUUAAUAUUAUUGUUAUUACUAUUUGAUUGAAUUGGAAGGAUUUGUAUAGAGCAGGAGUACCUGGAGAUGGAAGAUGUUUGUUCAGAUCAGUGGUAUAUGGUGCCUGCCUCAGAUCUGGCGACCCAUCUCCCAGCAACGCCAAGCAAAAACAACUCGCAGAUGAUCUCAGAAACAAAGUAGUGGAUGAAUUCAUCAAGAGGAGAGCAGACACUGCAUGGUUUCUUGAGGGUGACUUUGACACCUACACAGGACAAAUGCGAAAGUCUCACGUUUGGGGAGGGGAGCCGGAGCUUCUCAUGUCCUCUCAUGUUUUACAGAUGCCAAUAAGAGUGGUGAUGCAAGACAAGAAAAGCAGAGGAGUGAAGGUGAUAGCAGAAUAUGGGCAAGAGUAUGGGAAGGAUUGCCCAAUCCAAGUGAUGUAUCAUGGUUAUGGUCACUAUGAUGUGCUCAAGACUCAACCUGCUUCUACAUGUACUCACUAUACUUCUAACAAUAUCUGUAAGGACUAACUUUAAUUUACAGUAUCUUCAUUGGUA